GAUGAACGCUGGCGGCGUGCUUAACACAUGCAAGUCGAACGGAAAGGCCCAAGCUUGCUUGGGUACUCGAGUGGCGAACGGGUGAGUAACACGUGGGUGAUCUGCCCUGCACUUCGGGAUAAGCCUGGGAAACUGGGUCUAAUACCGGAUAGGACGAUGGUUUGGAUGCCAUUGUGGAAAGUUUUUUCGGUGUGGGAUGAGCUCGCGGCCUAUCAGCUUGUUGGUGGGGUAAUGGCCUACCAAGGCGUCGACGGGUAGCCGGCCUGGGAGGGUGUACGGCCACAUUGGGACUGAGAUACGGCCCAGACUCCUACGGGAGGCAGCAGUGGGGAAUAUUGCACAAUGGGCGCAAGCCUGAUGCAGCGACGCCGCGUGGGGGAUGACGGCCUUCGGGUUGUAAACUCCUUUCGCUAGGGACGAAGCGUUUUGUGACGGUACCUGGAGAAGAAGCACCGGCUAACUACGUG
rnacentral:rRNA from 1 species